UGAUAUGCUAAAAAAUCUAAACUACUCGAGAUUUAUAAAACACGUAGCCAUACACUUGGAUAUUAUCGACUUUGUGGCUUCAAUCACAAUUCUCUAAAUUCCGGCAGAGGAUUUAGGGGGAAAAGAUGCAACUUCGAGAACGUAACAUAUCGAUUGAAGGCGCCAGGUAUUAGUGAAACAAACAAGAUCAUUAACUAAUGAAGGCUCGCCAACGUCGAUUUCCAUGAGUAAUAACGGAGAAAGGACAGAUUUUAACCAGAUCCCGUUACACAUCCGUGCAGCCAAAUUUUCUAGAGUCAAGAUCGGGAUACAUCACUAAAAGAAACGAAUCAAUCGGCCAAAAAGCCCCACUUUUGACACCAAAAGGAAAAGAAUACAGCGACGAUAAAACCACCAUACCUUCCACAAAGCUGUAAAACUCUUACAGUUAGUGAUUUCUUUUGGUGUCCAAAACCUAUCAAUAGAAUUUUGGAUGACCAAUUUAGGAGACACCGAAUAAAAUCUAAAACGAUCAAACAACCAAAAAAAUCUCAAAAGAAAAAGUGGAAAAAGCACCUCGAUAUCGAUUGAAUGCAGGAGGGCGGUCUCGGAAGCACGAUUCACCGACUCGCCAACGGGUAAGGAGGGCAGAGAGAGAGAGAGAGAGAGAGGCUGAAGGCGAUCGAGCUCCGACGACAAACACGUCCGAGUUUCACACCGAUCUCUCUCGCUUUUAUCGCGACCAAGCCAAAGAAAAGGGAAAGAAGGCUCGCAUGGAACGAAUAAAGGAACGAUCGGGGUGAAUUCUAGAACCGUGGGGAAGGUUUCUCUAGGGAGAGAGAGAUCCUCUCCAACUCGCAAUGUAAUUUGACGUUUUCAGUUCCCAAUCGCUCCGUUCAUCC
rnacentral:lncRNA from 1 species